rnacentral:rRNA from 1 species
UACGUAGGGUGCAAGCGUUGUCCGGAAUUAUUGGGCGUAAAGAGCUCGUAGGCGGCUCGGUAAGUCGGGUGUGAAAACCCCCCAGGCUCAACCUGGGGGACGCCACCCGAUACUGCUGUGGCUAGAGUCCAGUAGGGGAGUGUGGAAUUCCCGGUGUAGCGGUGAAAUGCGCAGAUAUCGGGAGGAACACCAGCGGCGAAGGCGGCACUCUGGGCUGGAACUGACGCUGAGGAGCGAAAGCGUGGGUAGCAAACAGG